rnacentral:rRNA from 1 species
UACGUAGGGGGCAAGCGUUGUCCGGAUUUAUUGGGCGUAAAGCGCGUGUAGGCGGCUUGGCAAGUCCGCUGUGAAAACUCGAGGCUCAACCUCGAGCUGUCGGUGGAAACUGCCUGGCUAGAGUCCGGAAGAGGAGUGUGGAAUUCCUGGUGUAGCGGUGAAAUGCGCAGAUAUCAGGAAGAACACCUAUGGCGAAGGCAGCACUCUGGGACGGUACUGACGCUGAGACGCGAAAGCGUGGGGAGCGAACAGG